GACGAACGCUGGCGGCGUGCUUAACACAUGCAAGUCGAACGGAGUGGCGAACGGGUGAGUAACACGUGGGUGAUCUGCCUUGCACUUCGGGAUAAGCUUGGGAAACUGGGUCUAAUACCGGAUAGUGCAAGAUGAGCUCGCGGCCUAUCAGCUUGUUGGUGGGGUAAUGGCCUACCAAGGCGUCGACGGGUAGCCGGCCUGAGAGGGUGUACGGAAAGAGUGGGACUGGGGUGGGGCCCAGACGCGUACGGGGGGCAGGGGUGGGGAAUAUUGCAGAAGGGGGGGGAGCCUGAUGCAGGGAGGCCGGGGGGGGGGGGGAGGGCUUCGGGUUGUAAACUCGUUUGGACAGGGACGCGGUACCUGUAGAAGAAGCACCGGCUAACUACGUGCCAGCAGCCGCGGUAAUUC
rnacentral:rRNA from 1 species